UGAGUGCGAGCUGCUACGGCAGCGAAGUUGGUGAUGUCAUGCUUCCAAGAAAAGCCCUAUACCCGUUAAGGCAUCAUGGCCUGUACCCGAAACCGACACAGGUGGGGUGGUAGAGAAUACCGAGGGGCGCGAGGUAACUCUCUCUAAGGAACUCGGCAAGAUGGCCCCGUAACUUCGGGAGAAGGGGUGCCACCGCAAGGUGGUCGCAGUGAAGAGGCCCAGGCGACUGUUUACCAAAAACACAGGUCUCCGCUAAGUCGCAAGACGAUGUAUGGGGGCUGACGCCUGCCCAGUGCCGGAAGGUUAAGGAAGCUGGUCAGCGCAAGCGAAGCUAGCGACUGAAGCCCCGGUGAACGGCGGCCGUAACGAUAACGGUCCUAAGGUAGCGAAAUUCCUUGUCAGGUAAGUUCCGACCCGCACGAAAGGCGUAACGAUCUGGGCGCUGUCUCGGAGAGAGGCUCGGCGAAAUAGAAUUGUCUGUGAAGAUGCGGACUACGUGCACCCGGACAGAAAGACCCUAUGAAGCUUUACUGUAGCUUGGUAUUGUGCCCGGGCUCGCAAUGCGCAGGAUAGGUGGGAGGCUUUGAUCAUCGGCUUGCGGGUCGAUGUGAGCCAACGGUGAGAUACCACUCUUUGCGAGCUAGGGUUCUAACGGCCACCCGUCAUCCGGGGGCCGGACAGUACCUGGUGGGCAGUUUGACUGGGGCGGUCGCCUCCUAAAAGGUAACGGAGGCGCGCAAAGGUUUGCUCAGGCUGGUUGGAAAUCAGCCGACGAGUGUAAAAGCAGAAGCAAGCUUGACUGUGAGACCAACAAGUCGAACAGGGAGGAAACUCGGCUUUAGUGAUCCGACGGUUCUGAGUGGAAGGGCCGUCGCUCAACGGAUAAAAGUUACUCUAAGGAUAACAGGCUGAUCUCCCCCAAGAGUUCACAUCGACGGGGAGGUUUGGCACCUCGAUGUCGGCUCAUCGCAACCUGGGGCUGAAGUCGGUCCCAAGGGUUGGGCUGUUCGCCCAUUAAAGCGGUACGCGAGCUGGGUUCAGAACGUCGUGAGACAGUUCGGUCCAUAUCCGGUGCACGCGCAGGAAUAUUGAGAGGAUUUCUCCCUAGUACGAGAGGACCGGGAGGAACGCACCUCUGGUGUACCAGUUAUCGUGCCAACGGUAAACGCUGGGUAGCCAUGUGCGGAGUGGAUAACCGCUGAAAGCAUCUAAGUGGGAAGCCCACCUCAAGAUGAGUAUUCCCAUGGCGUAAGCCAGUAAGGUCACGGGAAGAACACCCGUUGAUAGGCUCUAUGUGGAAGCGCAGUAAUGCGUGAAGCAGAGGAGUACUAAUAGACC
rnacentral:rRNA from 1 species